rnacentral:misc_RNA from 1 species
GUAGGUGAACCUGCGGAAGGAUCAUUACAGAGUUCAUGCCCUUACGGGUAGAUCUCCCACCCUUUGAGUACUAUACUUUUGUUGCUUUGGCAGGCCGCUUCGGCUACCGGCUUCGGCUGGUGAGUGCCUGCCAGUAGGACCCUUUAAAACCCUUUGUAAUUGCAAUCAGCGUCAGAAACAACGUAAUCGUUACAACUUUCAACAACGGAUCUCUUGGUUCUG